rnacentral:misc_RNA from 1 species
AGACAGGCGUAUUUAGUCGGCGAAAAGUCUGUGCUAUAAUCGAGUUCAUAGGGAAUUAUUUUCUAGAGUUGCCGAAGGAUCUGUAUCUACCUAGAACAAAAUGGAGCUGAGCAAUUGGUUUGCCACAUUGUUGCGAGGUCUGCUAUUACUGCCAUUCAUUGCAAUGUCCGUGGCUAGAGAUGUACUUGGAAUGUUUAUUCCAGCACUUAAACCAGGCCCAGAAUCUAAACAGAAGCGAUACACCUACAGCAAAGACUAAUCCAAUUCUCCAUAGUCCACCUCAAUAAUCAUUUCUUGCAAUGAUAGACUGCCUAUGAACAAACUGUACUUCCAAAACUGAAUUAUUUGUGCUUCUAUAAAUGACUGUUAAAAUGUAGAACUUAAGAGAGCAUUUAUAAUAUACACAAGUAAUCCACUGUAUUUUGAUAACGAUAAACAAAUGUAAGCAUAUAUUUUUGUAUGCGGAAUUGGAAUCUGCCAUAUUAAAAACAAACUAAACAC